ensembl:lncRNA
AAUAAACAUUUCUGCCAAUAUGCAAGAGUUAGCCAGAAGGCUAUUUUUCAUCUGCAGUCCCAGGACAGAUGUUAAAAGUCACCCUAAAAGACAGAAAAGAAAUCUGCUUUGUGCUGGUCAGCAGGUGGCAGGAGAGUCCUAAACCUGCAGCAUCCUCAGAGACAGAGCCACUCCCUUCAGAUUCAUGUUCUUCAGCAGAAGCUUCUGUCAUCCUGAGUAACCUGUCCUCUGGUGAUUUACUCAAGAUCUCAGUGCUGAAAGAGAGCGACUGUGACCUCAGCGGUGCUCUUGGGUCAUUUUCAACUGCGAAUGAAUCUGCAAGCUUCAUUAGGCAUCAUUAGUAAUUCAUAAGCAUUUGGGUUCUGAGAUUACCUUCUUAAAUCAAAUUUAUGGUGCCGUCUCACUGUAUAAUUUUUGAGCGGGAGUUCAGAUUUGUAUUUGCAUUUCAUUAAUACAUAAUGUGGGUGCUGCUAAAUAAAAAUGAGCUUAAUAAAAUGCCUUUACAUUAUACAUAACAAUAUGAGAAAAGCAGUAAAUGUGUCACUAAUGAAGGCUGUAGCUGUGGUUUGGUGAGGUUUAACCUGCAUUAUAUGAGCAAUUACCACCACAAGUGAUGAGACAACCUGAAAUCAGCUACAAUGUUAUUAUAGUCAGCUAAAACUAUUACAAAAAAAAUGUGUUACUUAUACAAACUCGG